CUCAAAAUUUGUUUAUGAAUGAUCUAGUUUAGUGGCUCGUGGUUUCCCCGGCCUGUAAAUAUUUUUAUGCUAAUUUUUUCCUGAUUCUUCAGAAUUUAUUUUUUGUAUGCAAAUUUUUUUGUAAUUUUCUUUCUUGUUAAAAAUUUGCAUCCCUUUUGGUGGAGUGUACAAAAUAUUAGUUAUAUUUUCUUUUUUCUAACUUUAAAUUUUAAGUUGUUCUACAAAAAUAAUAUGAGCAAUAUAAAGUUUCUUAUUUUUUCUAAAUAGGUGGUUUCAGUUAACUUCAUUAAAGGCCAUUAUUACCUUACAAUAGCUGUAAUGCCUUUUAGCUCCCCGAACCAGCUAGUUUAACUAGUUACUGCCGAAGAAUUGCCUUUUUACAGAACAGUGCUGGGAUCUUCGGGAGAGAUGGAAGUUUUUCUUUUCUUGAGAGCUACGUAGUUCAAGCAGUGGCAGACCAGACUCGGUCCUAAGCAUUUUUUGAAGGUAUCAGCCCUUUUGAGCAGGACUGAUUUCGCCGCCGCUGGGAUUAUUUAUGUUAUUUGGCAACACUUGAGAUGAUUUACCGAGAGUAAAUAGUUCAUGGGACCCACAUCAGGACGGAGACUUUAUUGCAUAACAUCGCAUACGGACAGCUUGCCGGUGGAUAUAAGAUGCAGGUGACGCGGAAUGGUCCGUUUCUGGGUGCACUUUUUAUAACAUCCUUAAUUUGGAAGUGCAACGGAUGUCUCCCUUAUUGUUUUCGUUCCAAUACCAAGACGAAGUGUACAUUGGGGAGCUUAUUUGUUGAGGUGCUGAAGCGAUGUAUCACAAAAUAUAGGUUAUUCUUUUA